rnacentral:rRNA from 1 species
UACGGAGGAUCCAAGCGUUAUCCGGAUUUAUUGGGUUUAAAGGGUGCGUAGGUGGCCUGUUAAGUCAGGGGUGAAAGACGGUAGCUUAACUAUCGCAGUGCCCUUGAUACUGAUGGGCUUGAAUGAACUAGAGGUAGGCGGAAUGUGACAAGUAGCGGUGAAAUGCAUAGAUAUGUCACAGAACACCAAUUGCGAAGGCAGCUUACUAUGGUUUUAUUGACACUGAGGCACGAAAGCGUGGGGGAUCAAACAGG